GUAUGCACUUCAAAACAGCUAGGCAGGGGGAAGUCCAGUUGUGUAUCCAGGCAGAAUUGAAUCGAAUCUUCCUUCCAUCUCAGCCAUCUAUUAACUUGGAAUGUAGAGUCCUUGGGCAUGGGGAGAAAUGUGACCCUCACAAAGAACCUCCUCUGCUGCUUGCAGUUCUGUGACCCUUCUGCUCUGAUGACUGCUCCUUCGGAGGUUCCUCUGCUUGCUGAAGAAAAGAGGCCACUGCUGGUUCCCUUGAAGACCUUGUCUGGACUGCUGACCUUGGUGCUCUUCUCCCUCUCCAGAAAGCAACAAGUCUUCUGCUUCUGGAGAGGAGCAGAUUAUUUGGGCAAGAAUCUAAUCUAACCUAAUGAUGAUGUUUGUCUUGUACCACUGUCGUCUCCUUCAUAGGACACUUGGACAGUGAGUAAAUUGCAUAUAAUUGUACUGUCUUAGUCUAUCCUUGAGUUUCAGAGGACCAUCAGCUUCACACAGCUGCAUCAAGGCCUUGAGUUUCAUGGAUUCUGGCAGGGAGAGAUUGCAAGGGGACAGGGAAA
rnacentral:lncRNA from 10 species